rnacentral:lncRNA from 1 species
UUUCAAGUUGAUCAAAUCCAUUUCAGAAUGUUCCUCAGUUUAUGCAGAAUCACUUUAAAUAAGUGUAAGUAAAAUGUGUUCGUUUUAUCACUGGAUCUGUUUAUUAGGUUUUAAAAGUGCAUUUCCACUAUACCAUCAACAGCAGUAAGGGAAAAAAGGGAGGAGCGGUGACAGAAAAUCUGUUUGACAAAGUAAAUAGUCUCUUUGCACAUGUGUAUAUAUAUGUAUGGGGGUUUAUAUGGCUAAAGUAAUGGUGAUGGCACUGAUGGAACAGACACUUUUUAGCAUUAUAAUGACAAAUCAUAAAAGAUGGCACACUUUAAAAAAAGAUGAUGUUUAUUGGAGACUUGAUUAUUUCCUUCAGCAAUUGGAAAAUUGACUGAGACAAGAGAACCCAGCAAGUGAGGAUCCAAAUUGAAACACUAAGUCAUGUCUACAUGAUAACACCAUGAAGUCAUCUGUGACUUUAUGAUGGAAGAGCAAACAGUAUUGCAUCCACUCUGCCAUAAAAAGUAAUAAUUUCUGGAAGACUACAGCAGAGUAAAAAUUCCAGGCCGUGGACUGAAUUCAAACUGCUCCUGAGAGGAAACUUCUGAGAGUGCCAAAUCCAGUCAGGCCUCCAUAUGAUUGACAAGGAUGCCAUUGCCACCAAAGAGAAGUGCAAGACCUGGCAUGAUCACUCAGCAGAGGUGCUCAGAGACACCCAGAGAGUCAAUGGCGAAGGUGCUGCUGAGAGCUGGGAUUGAAGGCAAGGAAGAGUCAGCUGCUUCAGUGGGUCUCAAGCCUGGUGGUAAUUGUCUUGUCUUUGUCCUUACUGAGUACAGCUGGGUGACAUCUUUCAGUCAGAUCCUGUUUCCCUGAAAAAUACAGAUUGUGGUUGGUGGAAUUGUUCAGCAAAUUUCUGUCAGUCUUGGUGAACUGUUAGAGUUGAUAAAUCCUGGUGUGUG